UAGGGUUACAAACGCCUAAAUACAAAUAUGACAUAAAUUACAACAUACACAAAACACAAAACAUUGUUAUACUAUAGGGUGCAUUGGCUCUAUAAGUGACGCUAUAAUCUUUAUUUCCAUUUAAUCAUAUUUUUACGCUUCUAUUUUAAAAUUAAACAUUUCACAAAAAUUAGUAAAAAAAUUCAACAUUACAUUAAUUAAAAUAAAAUAAAGGAUUUUGAAAUUAAAAACAUUACAAUAAUUAAAAAUUAGGUGAAAAAUAAAAGAAUUAAAAAAAUUAGAAUUUUAAAAGUAAAGAAAUCAAAAAUUAAAAUUAAAAUAAAAAACAAAAUCAAAAUCAAAAAACAACAAUAGAAAACCCUACUUUUAACCCACCCCCACUGCCCAUUUCCUUUCUUUUCUUUCUUCCCCAACCCACCGACUCCCCCGUUUCUCUGCAAAUAGCCGCUUUCUAUUUUUUUUUUAAUUGGUGCGUCUCGUGAACUCGCGCCUCCACCUUCCAUUGUGCCUGAUAUCAGGCGAGGAAUUCAGCCCGCACCACGAUGGUACGCCAGCGCGCGUCUCUUCCCAGCCGUCGACUCGGUCAGCCAUUUUGAGCUCCGUCACGUGGAUGCUCUUAGCCUCUUACACAGAAAUUAAAGUUACCUUCAAAGUCCAAACGCAUCAAAUGGGAAAAGCUAUGGUGAAUUUUAUCAUUAAAUUCGCAAUACUGCAAAAUAAGGAAAUUAUGGAAUUUUAUCAUUAUUAUGGUAAAAGCUAUCAUUAUCAUUAAAUUUGCAAUAGUGAAUUUUUUUCAAAGUUAGGUGAUGAAAGUGAAAUUGUAUCAAUUAAUAAAUGGUGAGAAUUGGGUAUGUAUCAAUCACUUUAUAGAAAUACAUUUGAGAAUCAUUAGUAAAAUUUCUACGGGUUCACCCCUCCCCCAUCUCUCUCUCUCUCUCUUGUCACGCAACUACAUCGCCGGCGAUCACCAGAAUCAAAGUGUCGCCAUCACGCAAGAUUCUGGUGAUUCCGAUGAUGUGGUUGUGAGCGGGCAAGAGAUGAGGUCCCCUUCACUGCAUGUUCUCUCGUCUCGUCUCACGCCGCCGCCGCCUUAUCUCCCUUGCUCGAACUCUCUCCUCUCUAGACAAUCUUCCUGUGUUCUCUCUCCCAAAUUUCAGAAACCUAGGUUCUCUCCUCCUUUUCUAGCGGCGAGCAGCACCGCCACCAUCUUCCUCCUCCCUCUCUCUCGACCGACGGGCAGCCCGACUUCAACACAAAAACAUCUUCUUUUGCUGUCUGGCCCAUGGUUAAAGCAGUUAUCAAGAGAGGAAGAAGGGAGAUUUGUCCUUAUCUCAAUUCUGCUUUUCUGUAUUCCUGGCCAUUUCUUAUUCCCUCUUCCAUUAAGACAGAGAAUCGGAGCUUUGUUUUUUGCGUUUGCAGGGAUACUGUUUGAUUGCAAAGGAUCAGAUGUUGCGGGCCUAAGAUAAUGAGACAUGAACUUGCCAAAAUAUGUGCCUCUGGUUUGGCCCAAACUCUUGAUUUUGAGUCUCUGAGCUUCGACUGCUGAUUACAACGAUUGUCUCUCCAUUUUAUUUGUUUCUCAGAUCGUUCAUCACUAUGUUUAGGCCUUCUUGAUUUGCUAUUUUUUUUUUGCUGUCUUGAGUAUAGAUUUUGUCAUGUUGUAAUAUAAUGCAUGUGCAGCUGCUUAACAAAUGUAUUUACAGAGUGAUACUUGGAAAAAUUUAAAUCAUUUUUCAAUCAGUUUUA